rnacentral:ncRNA from 1 species
GUGGAUUCCUUUCGUCGGUACGGUAUUUGCGUAAUCCUGGUUCUUACGGGUGACGGGGAAUCAGGGUUCGAUUCCGGAGAGGGAGCCUGAGAAACGGCUACCACAUCCAAGGAAGGCAGCAGGCGCGCAAAUUACCCAUUCCCGACGCGGGGAGGUAGUGACGAAAAAUAACAAUGCAGGACUCGUUCGAGGCCCUGUAAUUGGAAUGAGUACACUUUAAAAGCUUUAACGAGUAUCCAUUGGAGGGCAAGUCUGGUGCCAGCAGCCGCGGUAAUUCCAGCUCCAAAAGUAUAUAUUUAAGUUGUUGCGGUUAAAAAGCUCGUAGUUGGAUUUUGGGCGCAGGCGGCCGGUCCGUCGCAAGGCGUGUACUGGACGUCCUGGCCUUCCCUCCGGUUCUCCGCCGGUGCUCUUGACUGAGUGUCGGCGGCGGCCGGAACGUUUACUUUGAAAAAAUUAGAGUGUUCAAAGCAGGCUCUCGAGCCUGGAUAAUGGUGCAUGGAAUAAUGGAAUAGGACCUCGGUUCUAUUUUGUUGGUUUUCGGAGCGCGAGGUAAUGAUUAAGAGGGACAGACGGGGGCAUUCGUACUGUGCCGUUAGAGGUGAAAUUCUUGGAUCGGCGCAAGACGAACGACUGCGAAAGCAUUUGCCAAGAAUGUUUUCUUUAAUCAAGAGCGAAAGUCAGAGGUUCGAAGACGAUCAGAUACCGUCCUAGUUCUGACUAUAAACGAUGCCAACUAGCGAUCGGGGGGCGUUACAUUGACGACCCCUCCGGCAGCUUACGGGAAACCAAAGUCUUUGGGUUCGGGUGGUAGUAUGGUUGCAAAGCUGAAACCUAAAGGAAUUGACGGAAGGCACCACCCGGAGUGGAGCUUGCGGUUUAUUUUGACUCAACACGGGAAAUCCCCCCCGGCCCGGACC